GAAUAUUCCAUUGAGGUUGUAAAAUAGCGGGUAACUCUCUUUUUUUGAAUAUUAAUUGAGCCGUUUAUUUUGAAAGUGACCUAACUCCGUUUUUCAAUUUUUUACCGGUUACCAUGGUUACAUGUACAACUUCAUGUUAUUUAUCAGUGACACAAGUCAGAUUGCUUAUAUUCAGAGAAAAUACGGUACAUUUUUUACACAUAGGUUUUCCGAAUUAAUUGAAUAACUGACCCGUGUGGUUUGAAAGUGGCCUAACUCCAUUUAGAGUUACAUCAAGGUAUUUACUAUUGAUAAUAACGGAAAGCAGCGAUGAAGAAAUUAUUGCACCCAUGAGGAAGAACUGGAGAAGACCACUUAGUUCAGAUAGUGAAGAAGAAAUAGUAAUUAAUAAUUUAAAAAAAGCGAAUAAGAAAAAGAGUUAUAAAACAAUAUUCCUCGUCAGAGGAUGAAGAUUCAAAUAACAAUGGAGAAAAGAUUGAUGCACCAUAUAUCCAAAAAGUGCGAAAGAUAAAACGGAAUUCAGGAAAAAGAUAUUGCAGUUAAACCGGAAGUAUUGUUCAUGAAAAAAAUUUCGAAACAAAGAUUGUGGUUGUCGGAAUGCGUGCACAAAAAAUUAUAAUGAA